GUUGCAGCCUGCCUGGUGAGAGGAGAUGGUGGCUCAGGCAAGGGGAUGCUGUGGCAGAGAGGGGCUUGGGCUGAGUGUGUCCUGGAGGAAGAGCCAGUUGAAGCCACAGUAUUUCAGAUCCAGCUGGAAUCACAGGGGUUUCUUGUUUGGCCCCUCCCUGAAACCCUGGAAGAAUCUGGAGUCAGCAGAAGGUGAUGCUCUUUCUCAGUUUCAUACUGCUGUAGGGACAGGGCUCUCCAGGGUCUCAGAUCCCAACUCCAGUUUGAUUGCUUUUUCCACUGUACCCUUGUGAAGAUGCCCAGUGAUCCAUCAGAAAGUCAAAGAAACAUUAACCAUAAAAUAUCAAAUUAUCCUCCUGCUCCAGAGAACAGGCCUCACCUCAUUGAGCAGGAGGUAUUGAUGAGCCACAUAAGGCCAAAAGCAGAUCUCACCUCUUCAGUUCUUUAAUUCCUCUUUGAGGGACAUAAAUUUGGGGACUACCCGCCCCCCACCAAUAACACCACAAACUUAAAUCACUUUUCUUCCCUUUUGAAUUCCUCUUCAAUUCACUGCCCAGCAGCAGCUUAGAGCUCCUAGAUCUUAUGCCUUGCAAGAACUCAUUUUUGCAAAUCUUCCUAAAUUCACCCACGUGCAUUUUUGCAGGGAGGGAGGAUGAUAGGAACCUCCUUAACUCAGUUUUCUUGUCUUUUCUUACAGUGUGCAUGUUGCAAAAAUCACAGAAUCAUGUAAGGAAUGAAAGGAAAGCCCCCUUCUUCAACCCUGACUCCAACAAUCCCACUGCUCAAAGGAACCCAGAUAAUACGUAGGAAAUACAUACCUACGUGUUUCUUACAUAUUUAGAAAUAUGUCAACAUAAGUCAUUAUAAACAUAAGUCAUUAUAAUUAGUCAUUUGUACUUGAGAAGUCCUAAUGUACAUGGUUACAAUGCAAAUGAUCUCAAAGUGUGUGAAAUGGCAAGUAAAAGUCCUUUUCUCCUCUCACUCCCAACUGCCCGGGGCAACUGCCACCAACAAGGUAUAUUCUUCCAGAAAAAUCAUAAUGUACCUUCAAACACAUGCAUAAAGUUUUAAAAUUGUUCAAUAGGUAGUAAAUUCACAUCAUUCAAAAAUAGAAAACUUACGAACAUGUGUAGAAUGAAGAGGCUCUCUCCCAUCCCACCUCCACCCACCCUCGGGGAACCAUUUUUAGUUUCUUGCGCAUCCUUCCAGAUUUUCUUUCUGAAAAUAUAAGCGAGGGGAGACGCACAUUCUGAUUUUACUCCUUUUACACAAAGGUACUCUUCCCCUUUGCGCUGACUUCCCACAACAGUGUACCUCGGACGGCUCUACUCGUUCCCAUUUCACGGUAGCCUGGUAACCCACUGCAUGGAUUUACCAUCACGCAUUUAACCGCCCUCCCGUUCGUGGCCACUUGGACUGUGUCUAACAUUUUGAUUUUUUUGUUUGUUUGUUUUUUUGAGACAGAAUCUCACUUUGUGCCCCUGGCUGGAGU
rnacentral:lncRNA from 10 species